CAUCACAGGCAAAAUAGGUACAACUUAGAGAUAUGAAGUGAAUAUAUUACUAAAAAAAUCAGAGCAGGAUAAUUGUUGUAAUCUUUGCUGCAGCGUUGUUCUCGCCUCUCUGCUGGGGCUCUUCUCCAUUCUCUGCCACACACUCCUUCCUUUCUUCUCAGGGGCUCCUCUUGGGCUCUUCUCCAUUCUCUGCAGCACAGUCCUUCCUGUCUUCUCAGGGGCUCCUCUUGGGCUCUCGACCCACCCCUAUUUAUCUCAGCUACCUUCACGAGCUACAGCUGCUGCCCAACUAAGGACCCUGCAGCUGCAGCUCGUUUGGAGCAACUCAGACCCACACAGAUCCCACAAUACAACAUAUAUUCAGGCCCCCACAUUUCUCCCCUUUUCUUUUAACAAUUAUACAAUUACAAUACACAUACAGUCCCAGCUCUCAGGCUGCCACAGCUCUCGGCUGUCCUUAGAUGUUCCAAGGCUCUUUUCCUUAAAGGCCAUAUUAUAUUCUGCAGUCCCAGCUCUCAGGCUGCCACAGCUCUCAGCUGUCCUAUCUUCUAUAGUCCCAGCUCUCUGGCUGAUAUUCCAAAGUCCCAGCUCUCAGGCUGCCACAGCUCUCGGCUGUCCGGGGGAUUCCAUACCUUCUUUCAAUGUUUGGUUGCAGUGUUCUUCCUCACACGGGGUCACCAGUUGUUGUAAUCUUCGCUGCAGCAUUGUUCUCGCCUCUCUGCUGGGGCUCUUCUCCAUUCUCUGCAGCACAGUCCUUCAUGUCUUCUCAGGGGCUCCUCUUGGGCUCUUGACCCACCCCUAUUUAUCUCAGUUACCUUCACGAGCUACAGCUGCUGCCCAGCUAAGGACCCCGCAGCUGCAGCUCGUUUGGAGCAACUCGGACCCACACAGGUCUUACAAUACAACAUAUAUUCAGGCCCCCACAGAUAAUGAGAAGUGAAAUAAGCCUACUCCCUCCUUCCAGCUCUGCCUCCUACCCCAGCAGCACAAGGAGACUGGGAAUGGGCGUUACAGUCAGUUCAUCACCCAAGGCUUUUCCUGCUGCACUGUGGGGUCCCUUCCACAGGAGACACUUCUCCAUGAACUUCCAGAUGGGGCUCCACCUCACAAGCAGCAGUUCUC
rnacentral:lncRNA from 1 species